rnacentral:rRNA from 1 species
CCUACGGGAGGCAGCAGUGGGGAAUCUUGCGCAAUGGGCGAAAGCCUGACGCAGCAACGCCGCGUGCGGGAAGAAGGCUUUCGGGCUGUAAACCGCUUUCAGCAGGAACGAAAAUGACGGUACCUGCAGAAGAAGGAGCGGCCAACUAUGUGCCAGCAGCCGCGGUGAUACAUAGGCUUCAAGCGUUGUCCGGAUUUAUUGGGCGUAAAGAGUUCGUAGGCGGUCGAGUAAGUCGGGUGUGAAAAUUCUGGGCUCAACCCAGAGACGCCACCCGAUACUGCUUGACUUGAGUUCGAUAGGGGAGUGGGGAAUUCCUAGUGUAGCGGUGAAAUGCGCAGAUAUUAGGAGGAACACCGGUGGCGAAGGCGCCACUCUGGAUCGAUACUGACGCUGAGGAACGAAAGCAUGGGUAGCAAACAGGAUUAGAUACCCUGGUAGUCCAUGCCGUAAACGGUGGGCACUAGGUGUGGGUUUCUAUUAACGAAAUCCGCGCCGUCGCUAACGCAUUAAGUGCCCCGCCUGGGGAGUACGGUCGCAAGACUAAAACUCAAAAUGAAUUGACGG